GCAGGAUGUAAAGAAUAUAUCACCUCAAGUCUGUCUUUGACUGCAGUGUCCAGCAUUGUGAGAUCUCUGAGGAAGAUGCCCAGGUAUGGCACAGUGCCUUGAGCACAGGACUACAAGUGGAAAAACAGUAUUAAGUAUUAUACAGGUCUUUCUGAGUCUGUGGAUGGGGUUACUCUGCAGAGCUGAUAGAAUCGCAUACAGUGAAGAGAAGUUCUUCCUUGUUCUGCAGGCCUGUUCAGGAGACAAACCACAGUCAACUUCUCAACCUCGGGAUUCAUAUCCAGAAGUUACCAGAGCUGGCCUGAUCUGCUCCUGCUUGGUGUCGGACUCCACUGCUAUGUGUCUCUGAGUGAUGACGACUAAAUGCAGCCGGUGCAACCAGACAUCACUUCGAUCCUUUACGAUGGACUUCAGAGGAUGAACUGACGCCAACUCCAACUGUAAGAUAUUGAAUACUUCAUAUGCCACUGCCGGAACCUUUGACUUAGGAUGGACCCCAACGAACCUCACCGAAAUGACCUGCCGGUUGAACUGCAAUGCACCUCAUUGAUCUCUGCCUGCAUCACCUUUGUUUAUUGAUGGACUACACUCUUGAAAUGGAAUACAUAGACUAUCAUUUAAUUGCCAACAAAAGCCUUCAUCAGCCAACUAACAAAGGACAAUGCAUCUGUGAACUUCUGCAGUUAAUCCAGGAUGGACUUCAAUGAUAUUAGUCAUUAAACUUACAUUUCAUACAAAAUAUUUGUUUAAACACUGGACCUUAACACUUACUUAGUUUACUAACCUUAUACCAUGACCUGCACUGCACACAAAUAACUAAUAUUGGCAUUAUAUUCAUGUUGUUUAGCCAGAGGGGAACUGGCCCCCACAGUGAGCCUGGUUUCUCCCAAGGUUAUUUUUCUCCAUUAACCAACAUCUUAUGGAGUUUUGUGCUGCUUGCCACAGUUGCCUACAGCUUGCUCACAUGGGUUCUAAAUACAAUUAUUAUUUAUUUAAUUUUUAUACACCAUUUACAAUCAUAUUUAAUCAAACUACACUCAAUGAAUGACUUUAUAGAUAUUACAGUUUCACUCUCUGUUAAAGCAUGAUUUUCUGUAAAGCUGCUUUGAAAUGAUGUGUUGUGAAAAGUGCUAUACAAAUAAAAAUGACUUGACUCAUAUGCUAUUUUACAUGUUUUCUAAAGUCAUCCUGUUGCUGGAACUAACUGAAAUUGCAAAACUAUUAUCUUUGAGACACAAAACUUUCUUCCUCCAGGGGGCGCUUGACGGCUCAGAAAACCGAAUCCCCUAUUAAUCCGCAUUCAAAUCUCAGGAUGUUUUUAUUUAUAUCUAUUUGGAGACAUUUUUACACUGGAUAGUAAUUUCUAAUAAAAAUAUUAUAAUUGCAAUGAUUUGUCCAUGUGGAUGGAAUCCCGCCGCAGUAGUUUAUAUAAAUAACU